GGGGGGGUACCGAAGCGGUCAAACGGGACAGACUGUAAAUCUGUUGGCUCUGCCUUCGCAGGUUCGAAUCCUGCUCCCCCCAC
rnacentral:tRNA from 1 species